rnacentral:rRNA from 1 species
GCUUACGGCCACACCGGCCUGAGUACGCCUGAUCUCGUCCGAUCUCGGAAGCUAAGCAGGGUCGGGCCUGGUUAGUACUUGGAUGGAGAGACCGCCUGGGAAUACCAGGUGCUGUAAGCU